rnacentral:rRNA from 1 species
UACGGGGGGGGCAAGCGUUGUUCGGAAUUACUGGGCGUAAAGGGCUCGUAGGCGGCCAACUAAGUCAGACGUGAAAUCCCUCGGCUUAACCGGGGAACUGCGUCUGAUACUGGAUGGCUCGAGUUUGGGAGAGGGAUGCGGAAUUCCAGGUGUAGCGGUGAAAUGCGUAGAUAUCAGGAGGAACACCUGUGGUGUAGACGGCUUUCUGGACCAUAGCUGACGCUGAGACACGAAAGCGUGGGGAGCAAACAGG